GAUGAACGCUGGCGGCGUGCAUAACACAUUCAAGUCGAACGAGGUAGCAAUACCUAGUGGCGGACGGGUGAGUAACGCGUGAGCAACCUGCCCUUGUGUGGGGGAUACCGUCUGGAAACGGACGUUAAUACCGCAUAACAUAGCGGAAUCGCAUGGUUCUGCUAUCAAAGAUUUAUUGCGCAAGGAUGGGCUCGCGUUGGAUUAGAUAGUUGGUGAGGUAACGGCCCACCAAGUCUGCGAUCCAUAGCCGGACUGAGAGGUUGAACGGCCACAUUGGAACUGAGAUACGGUCCAGACUCCUACGGGAGGCAGCAGUGGGGAAUAUUGGGCAAUGGGGGAAACCCUGACCCAGCAACGCCGCGUGAAGGAAGAAGGCCUCGGUU
rnacentral:rRNA from 1 species